rnacentral:rRNA from 1 species
UACGUAGGGUGCAAGCGUUAAUCGGAAUUACUGGGCGUAAAGGGCGCGUAGGCGGCCACCGCAAGUCAGUUGUGAAAUCUCUGGGCUUAACCCAGAACGGUCAGCUGAUACUGCGGGGCUAGAGUGCGGAAGGGGCAACUGGAAUUCUUGGUGUAGCGGUGAAAUGCGUAGAUAUCAAGAGGAACACCGGUGGCGAAGGCGGAUCUCUGGGCCUUACCUGACGCUGAGGAGCGAAAGCAUGGGGGAGCAAACAGG